UUUUCCCACCCCUUCCCUCCACAACAUUUUUUUUUUUCAUUCUGGUUCUUUACUGUGCUUUUGAUAGAUGAAUGUUAGCAAGUUUGAUGGAGAAGUCCUAUGUAUCCUGUAAUAAUGAGUGAUCAGUAAUUCAUGGAUGUGGGUUUUUUUUGUACUGCAGACCAAAAUCUACACCAACAGGGCAACCCAGUGCCAAUGGAGUACAGUCAGAAGGUCUAGAUUACGACAGAUUGAAGCAGGACAUUUUAGAUGAAAUGAGGAAGGAGUUAACAAAAUUAAAGGAAGAACUCAUUGAUGCUAUCAGGCAGGAGCUCAGCAAGUCGAAUACUGCAUAGAAAGACUAGUACUAAGAUGAUGUGACUCUUUAACUUGGUAUAAAACUGACUACGUUUUGUGAGCUGUUAGAAGAAAACGGAGACAGACAGACACUUGGAAGGAGGGAGAAACAACCUAUUCUGAACAGCUUCAGACGCAUCACUCUGGUGAUAUGCUAUUCCCCUCCUAGUUUGCAGCUUUUUUCUGACCUUUACAGCAGGGUGGAAAAGACUCUUAAAGUUACUGUAAUGAUUAUGCAGAAAUUCCUACACCUAUCAGACAAGAUCACAGUGCUUUGAAGUCUACUCAUGUCAAGAUUAAAUUGCACACGUUUCAGAAUUUGUUGUUAAGACAAUAAACAGGGAAAAGCUUGGGAAGGCUUUUCAGAGAGGUUUUCUUUAUUAAUGAAGGAGUUAGCAAGUUAUACUGUUGUACUUCAAAUGUAUCUCAGGUUUGUCUUCCUAUCAUAUCUGAUAUUUCCAUGAAUAAUUUAAAAGAUCAGAUGUGUAGAAGUUCAGUUCACAGAACAUGGAGCAAUUAGAAACGCACGCUUUUAAAGGGCAAUAUUUGUAAGUGAAUGACCUAGACAGUGAUGACAUAUCAAGAUUUUGGAAUUUUAUGAUAGGAAGCCUCUCUAGUUAGCCUUCAUGCAAUUUUAUAGGAAAAUUAAAAAA